AGAGUUUGAUCCUGGCUCAGAACGAACGCUGGCGGCGUGCCUAACACAUGCAAGUCGAACGCGAAAAUCCGCAAGGAUGAGUAGAGUGGCGCACGGGUGAGUAACACGUAAGUGAUCUGUCUUAGACAUCGGGAUAACCGUUCGAAAGGAUGGCUAAUACCGGAUAAGCCCACGGCUCUGGAGCUGCGGGAAAAGGGUUGGGACUGUAAUAGGCCAAUCGGUUUUUGAGGAGCUUGCGGCCCAUCAGGUAGUUGGCGGGGUAAAAGCCCACCAAGCCUAAGACGGGUAGCUGGUCUGAGAGGAUGAUCAGCCACACUGGAACUGAGACACGGUCCAGACUCCUACGGGAGGCAGCAGUGGGGAAUCUUGCGCAAUGGACGAAAGUCUGACGCAGCAACGCCGCGUGGGUGAUGAAGGUCUUCGGAUCGUAAAGCCCUGUCGGAGGGGAAGAUGCUUUGGCUGUCUAAUAGAUAGUCAAGGUGACGGUACCCUUAAAGGAAGCACCGGCUAACUCUGUGCCAGCAGCCGCGGUAAUACAGAGGGUGCAAGCGUUGUUCGGAAUUAUUGGGCGUAAAGGGAGUGUAGGCGGUUCUUUAAGUUUUCCGUGAAAUCUGCGGGCUCAGCCUGUCAAAGUGCGGAGAAAACUGGAGAACUUGAGUGUCAGAGAGGAUAGCGGAAUUCCCGGUGUAGAGGUGAAAUUCGUAGAGAUCGGGAGGAACACCAGUGGCGAAGGCGGCUAUCUGGCUGACAACUGACGCUGAGACUCGAAAGCAUGGGGAGCAAACAGGAUUAGAUACCCUAGUAGUCC
rnacentral:rRNA from 1 species